ACGAUAUCGAAAGCUUGCUUUUGAUGGGCGUCGACCGGCGCACGGGUGAGUAACGCGUAUCCACCCUGCCCACCACCUGGGGAUAAUCUUGCGAAAGUAAGACUAAUACCCAAUGACGUCUCUAGAAGACAUCUGAAAGAGAUUAAAGAUUUAUCGGUGAUGGAUGGGGAUGCGUCUGAUUAGCUUGUUGGCGGGGUAACGGCCCACCAAGGCAACGAUCAGUAGGGGUUCUGGGAGGAAGGUCCCCCACAUUGGAACUGAGACACGGUCCAAACUCCUACGGGAGGCAGCAGUGAGGAAUAUUGGUCAAUGGGCGAGAGCCUGAACCAGCCAAGUAGCGUGCAGGAUGACGGCCCUAUGGGUUGUAAACUGCUUUUAUAAGGGAAUAAAGUGAGUCUCGUGAGACUUUUUGCAUGUACCUUAUGAAUAAGGACCGGCUAAUUCCGUGCCAGCAGCCGCGGUAAUACGGAAGGUCCGGGCGUUAUCCGGAUUUAUUGGGUUUAAAGGGAGCGUAGGCCGGAGAUUAAGCGUGUUGUGAAAUGUAGACGCUCAACGUCUGCACUGCAGCGCGAACUGGUUUCCUUGAGUACGCACAAAGUGGGCGGAAUUCGUGGUGUAGCGGUGAAAUGCUUAGAUAUCACGAAGAACUCCGAUUGCGAAGGCAGCUCACUGGAGCGCAACUGACGCUGAAGCUCGAAAGUGCGGGUAUCGAACAGGAUUAGAUACCCUGGUAGUCCGCACGGUAAACGAUGGAUGCCCGCUGUUGGUCUGAAUAGGUCAGCGGCCAAGCGA
rnacentral:rRNA from 1 species